rnacentral:rRNA from 1 species
GUAGGGAAUCUUCGGCAAUGGACGAAAGUCUGACCGAGCAACGCCGCGUGAGUGAAGAAGGUUUUCGGAUCGUAAAACUCUGUUGUUAGAGAAGAACAAGGACGUUAGUAACUGAACGUCCCCUGACGGUAUCUAACCAGAAAGCCACGGCUAACUACGUGCCAGCAGCCGCGGUAAUACGUAGGUGGCAAGCGUUGUCCGGAUUUAUUGGGCGUAAAGCGAGCGCAGGCGGUUUCUUAAGUCUGAUGUGAAAGCCCCCGGCUCAACCGGGGAGGGUCAUUGGAAACUGGGAGACUUGAGUGCAGAAGAGGAGAGUGGAAUUCCAUGUGUAGCGGUGAAAUGCGUAGAUAUAUGGAGGAACACCAGUGGCGAAGGCGGCUCUCUGGUCUGUAACUGACGCUGAGGCUCGAAAGCGUGGGGAGCAAACAGGAUUAGAUACCCCAGUAGUCC